AGAACGAACGCUGGCGGCAGGCCUAACACAUGCAAGUCGAACGCCCGUAGCAAUACGGGAGUGGCAGACGGGUGAGUAACGCGUGGGAACGUGCCCUUCGGUUCGGAAUAACUCAGGGAAACUUGAGCUAAUACCGGAUACGUCCGUAAGGAGAAAGAUUUAUUGCCGAAGGAUCGGCCCGCGUCGGAUUAGCUAGUUGGUGGGGUAAUGGCCCACCAAGGCGACGAUCCGUAGCUGGUCUGAGAGGAUGAUCAGCCACACUGGGACUGAGACACGGCCCAGACUCCUACGGGAGGCAGCAGUGGGGAAUAUUGGACAAUGGGCGAAAGCCUGAUCCAGCCAUGCCGCGUGAGUGAAGAAGGCCUUAGGGUUGUAAAGCUCUUUCAGCGGGGAAGAUAAUGACGGUACCCGCAGAAGAAGCCCCGGCUAACUUCGUGCCAGCAGCCGC
rnacentral:rRNA from 1 species